rnacentral:rRNA from 1 species
UACGUAGGGGGCAAGCGUUAUCCGGAUUUACUGGGUGUAAAGGGAGCGUAGACGGCAGCGCAAGUCUGGAGUGAAAUGCCGGGGCCCAACCCCGGAACUGCUCUGGAAACUGUGAAGCUGGAGUGCAGGAGGGGCAAUCGGAAUUCCUAGUGUAGCGGUGGAAUGCGUAGAUAUUAGGAGGAACACCAGUGGCGAAGGCGGAUUGCUAGACUGUAACUGACACUGAGGCACGAAAGCGUGGGGAGCAAACAGG